UACGUAGGGUGCGAGCGUUAAUCGGAAUUACUGGGCGUAAAGCGUGCGUAGGCGGUUCGUUAAGUUCGUUGUGAAAGCCCCGGGCUCAACCUGGGAAUUGCAUUGGAAACUGGCGGGCUUGAGUGUGGCAGAGGGGGGUGGAAUUCCACGUGUAGCAGUGAAAUGCGUAGAGAUGUGGAGGAACACCGAUGGCGAAGGCAGCCCCCUGGGCUAACACUGACGCUCAGGCACGAAAGCGUGGGGAGCAAACAGG
rnacentral:rRNA from 1 species